AUUUCUUAAUCAGAAAUAAGAUGAAAAGGGAAUCCGGUGUGAAUCCGGAGCUGUACCCGCAGCUGUAAGUCCCAAUUGCAAAUUGCAAUUAGUGUUAUUGAACCACAAAAGCCACUUCCUGAUGGAAUCAGGAGGGAAGGCAUCAAUAACCGGGAUGAGCCAGAAGACCUGCCAUAAAUUCAAU
rnacentral:ncRNA from 1 species